rnacentral:lncRNA from 1 species
UCUUCAUGUAUGUUCUUAUGAGGCUCUUGAAUGAUAUUCUGUAUUUUGUUCUUUAUUUUGCAUAAUUUUCUGACAGAGGGCCUAAGGUCUACACUAAACAGAAAACUGGGCAGCAUUUUUUUUUUUUUUUUUUUUUGAGUUACCAUAUUUUCAGCUAAUCAGAGUACUUUCUCUCUACUUCCUCUCUCUUAGGACUCACCUGUCAGAGAACAAUUGUGAAGACAUUAAUUUGAGCAUAUCACAUCCUGAGCAUUAAGAAGACUAUAUCUGCUAAUACACCCAUCCUUGUUGACUAUUUACGGUUUUACCCAACUCCUGCUUUGGCUUUAUACUGAUAGUCAGCAUGGAGGGGUCCACCCCAAGGCCGUUAGUUCAUCCUCUGCAUUAUGGUACCCUUCCUGCAUCAAGAUGCCUACUAUUGCUAGCGACACGUCUCAGCACAUCAUAGGUACUCUUUGUUUUUUGUUUGUUUUUAAUAAAAUUAGGUUCUCCUUUAAAAAAGCAUUGAGUAAAUAAUUUCCUUGGGAAAAUGAAGCUUCUACAUCAAAAUAUAAUCUUCAAAAAACCACAUGGU